UACGGGGGGUGCGAGCGUUGUCCGGAAUCAUUGGGCGUAAAGAGCGUGUAGGCGGCCAACUAAGUCCUGCGUGAAAUCUCGGGGCUCAACCCCGAGCGGUCGUGGGAAACUGGUUGGCUAGAGUGCGGGAGAGGAGAGUGGAAUUCCUGGUGUAGCGGUGAAAUGCGCAGAUAUCAGGAAGAACACCCGUGGCGAAGGCGGCUCUCUGGAACGCAACUGACGCUGAGACGCGAAAGCGUGGGGAGCAAACAGG
rnacentral:rRNA from 1 species